GCCCGGCUAGCUCAAUCGGUAGAGCGUGCGACUUUUAAUCGCAAGGUUGGGGGUUCAAGUCCCCCGUCGGGCU